rnacentral:rRNA from 1 species
CAGCAGGGGUAGCAAUACCCGCUGGCGACCGGCAAACGGGUGAGGAACAUGUACGCAACCUUCCUUUAACUGGAGAAUAGCCCCUCGAAAGAGGGAUUAAUACUCCGUAACAUAAUGAAGUGGCAUCACUUUAUUAUUAUAGCUCCGGCGGUUAAAGAUGGGCGCGCACCUGAUUAGAUAGUUGGCGGGGUAACGGCCCACCAAGUCUGCGAUCAGUAACUGGUGUGAGAGCACGACCAGUCACACGGGCACUGAGACACGGGUCCGACUCCUACGGGAGGCAGCAGUAAGGAAUAUUGGUCAAUGGACGCAAGUCUGAACCAGCCAUGCCGCGUGGAGGAUUAAGGCCCUCUGGGUUGUAAACUCCUUUUAUCUGGGAAGAAAUGUACUUUUUCUUGAGUACUUGACGGUACCAGAGGAAUAAGCACCGGCUAACUCCGUGCCAGCAGCCGCGGUAAUACGGAGGGUGCAAGCGUUAUCCGGAUUCACUGGGUUUAAAGGGUGCGUAGGUGGGCAGGUAAGUCAGUGGUGAAAUCUCCGGGCUUAACCCGGAAACUGCCGUUGAUACUAUUUGUCUUGAAUAUUGUGGAGGUAAGCGGAAUAUGUCAUGUAGCGGUGAAAUGCUUAGAUAUGACAUAGAACACCAAUUGCGAAGGCAGCUUACUACACAACGAUUGACGCUGAGGCACGAAAGCGUGGGGAUCAAACAGGAUUAGAUACCCUGGUAGUCCACGCCCUAAACGAUGAUUACUCGACGUGUGCGAUACACUGUACGCGUCUGAGCGAAAGCAUUAAGUAAU